CCUGGCAGCUUCCCGUCCUAGCUAACGGAAGCGGCUCCCGACGCGGGCGGAGGGGCCUCUAGAACAUGGUUUGCCUCUCUGUGCAUGGAUGACUGAUUUCUAUGGACCCGUACUUCUCGUUUCCAGCCACACCCAGACAUCCUGCGGCAGCUCAGCUCAGCACAUUCAGAACCAGAUUUGUGAUUGUCUCCCUCCAGCCUGCUCCCGUUUCUGUUACGGUUAUCAUGAUCUGUCUCUGUGAACCUUCAAGUAGAUGACUUGGCAGGUUAGAGCACCGGCCGCUGACCUUGUCCUGCUUGGCUGAGACUUGACCCGACUAAGGACAUGGAAGGAACGAAGAGAAAACAAGCAAGCGACAGAAGGGCUGGGAUCAGGUGGGCUGUGCACACUGUGAUGGAGCUGCGAUGGCUGUAAAUACCAGGCUGAAGUAUCAUCAACCCUUUAUAAGCAAUUAUACUUGUACACACAGACAUACAUGCAUACAUACAUCUGUGCAUACAUACAUCUGUGCAUACAUACAUACGUGCACAGACCAUAGCAAUACACACAAUCAGUAAGUAAAUUUAAUUUUUCUUUAUCUUUGAGAAUUUCAUACAUGUCUACAAUGAAAUAUGAUUAUAUAUACUCCUCAUUUCCUCUAACUUCCUUCGUGUACCCCCUAACACGUCCCACAAAGAACCUCACGUCUCUUUUUAAAACAAUCAUUAAAUCCAGUUGUGCUGCCCAUAUAUACAUGGUGUAAGAGGAGCUACUGGAACAUGGGAAUCACUGGCCACACCCCCUACAAAGAAUAAAUCUUUCCCCAAAACU
rnacentral:lncRNA from 1 species